AGCAGUAUGGUGUAACGAUGCACACAGGCGCUUCUUACAUGACGGAAAUGCAAAGCGAUUCAGCCCGAGGUCCUUGUUCGAACCAAGGUGCUGCUC